CUAACGAGGAUUCCCCUAGUAACUGCGAGUGAAGCGGGAAAAGCUCAAAUUUAAAAUCUGACAGUAUUUUGCUGUCCGAGUUGUAACCUAGAGAAGUGUAGCCCGUGCUGGACCGUGUACAAGUCUCCUGGAACGGAGCGUCGGAGAGGGUGAGAAUCCCGUCUUUGACAUGGACUACCAGUGCAUUGUGGUUGUGCUCUCAACGAGUCGAGUUGUUUGGGAAUGCAGCUCUAAAUGGGUGGUAAAUUCCAUCUAAAGCUAAAUAUUGGCGAGAGACCGAUAGCGAACAAGUACCGUGAGGGAAAGAUGAAAAGAACUUUGGAAAGAGAGUUAAACAGUAUGUGAAAUUGUUGAAAGGGAAACGUUUGAAGUCAGACAUGUUGGCUGGGGAUCAAGCURGCAAUAAUUUGCUGGUUUCACUUCCUGGUUGACAGGCCAACAUCAGUUUUGACCAGCRGAGAAAGGCGAAGGGAAUGUGGCACCUUCGGGUGUGUUAUAGCUCUUGGUCAUAUGUGUUGGUUGGGACUGAGGAAAGCAGCGUGCCGCAAGGCCGGGUUUCGACCACGUUCGCGCUUAGGAUGUUGGCAUAAUGGCUUUAAGCGACCCGUCUUGAAACACGGACCAAGGAGUCUAACAUGCAUGCGAGUGUUUGGGUGGAAAACUCAUUCGCGUAAUGAAAGUGAAAGUUGAGAACCCUGUCGUGGGGAGCAUCGACGCCCGGACCAGAACUUUUGGGACGGAUCUGCGGUAGAGCAUGUAUGUUGGGACCCGAAAGAUGGUGAACUAUGCCUGAAUAGGGUGAAGCCAGAGGAAACU
rnacentral:rRNA from 1 species